rnacentral:misc_RNA from 1 species
UUUCCGUAAGUGAACCUGCGGAAGGAUCAUUAUCGUACAAAAUGUGAGGGGCAUGCGAGGGCUGUCGCUGACCCAAAAGUCGUGCACGCCCGAGUGUGUCCUCUUGCAUAAUAAUCCAUCUCACCCUUUGUGCAUCACCGCGUGGGCACCCUUCGGGAUCAUCUCGGAGGGGGGCUCGCGGUUUCACACAAACCCCCCUUUUAAAAGUGUAGAAUGACCACAUUUAUGCAAUCAAUACAACUUUCAACAACGGAUCUCUUGGCUCUC